CAACGCUGUAAUGAUAUGGUUCUUUCUUGGAUCUUCAAUUCAUUAAGUCAAGAUCUUGCCAACAAUGUGCUCUAUCUCGAGACACCUUUCGAAAUCUGGACAGAUCUACAAGAACGUUUCUCACAAGGUGAUUUUUCUCAUUACUGUCAACUUCAACGGUCCAUUGUUGAAUUGAAACAAAAUCAAGAAUCCAUUUUCACUUAUUGUACUAAGAUGAAGACAUUGUGGGAUAAAUUGAAGAAUUGCAGUCCAUCUGCUAUUUGUACUUGUGGAGGAUUGAGAUAUUUGAACGAAAAAGAAGAAAAAAUUAGGCUAUGACAAUUUCUUAUGGGAUUAAAUGAGUCCUACUCAGCUGUAAGAGAUUAAAUUAUGCUGAUGCAACCCUUACCUACUAUAAAGAAAGCUUAUUCUCUUCUAUGUGAAGAAGAAAAGCAAAGAGGACUAGUUGAAUAUAAGGGGGCAGAUCAAGUCCAUGCUAUGAAUGUCAAACCUCAGCCCAAUUUCAAACAACAAAGCUAUGAUCACCAACGCCAGGCCAAGUGGACACCCUCUCCCUCAAAACCUCAAGGGCCUAGAAAGCCACAGUUCUGCACUUACUGUGAUGGAACCACUCAUACGGUUGAAAGGUGCUACUACUUGAUUGGAUUUCCUGUUGGUCACAAGCUUCAUGGAAAAGAUGUUCAACCCCCAAAUCGAAAACAUAAAGUUGCUGCUAAUCAAACAAGCAGCGAGCCAGCUCAUAUUACAAAUAAAGUACCUGAUCAGUCAAUCCAAUUCACCUCUGAGGAGCUUUCUCAAAUCAAGGCAUUCCUCCGAAAUGGUAAAAGUUCUCCUUGUGCUAAUUAUACAGGUAUUCCAACGCCUUUUUGUUCUUCAUCCACUUUACGUUAUUUCAAAUCUGAUAACUGGAUUAUUGAUAGUGGUGCUACACAUCAUAUAACUUCCUCAAUGACUAGUGAUACUCCUAUGACUUCACAAGUUUCCUUACCAAAUGGUUCUCAGUCAACAAUCACUGGAGUUGGCACCGCUCAUCUUUCCGAUAAUUUACAUGUUAAAGAUGUUCUUUGUGUCCCUUCCUUUCAUGUCAAUCUUCCUUUUGUUAGCCAACUCACAUCUGCUCUAAAUUGUACCAUCCAAUUUUUUCCUAAUUUUUGUAUUUUGCAGGACCUAGAUUCGAAGAGGAUGAUUGGCCUGGGGAAAUAGGAUAAGGGAUUGUACUAUCUUGUGCCACAUUCAAAGUUGUCAUCAUCUAUACCAGUAACUUAUCAGGUCUCCAUUCCAUCAGCCAUCACUUGUCAUAAACGAUUGGGACAUCCUUCUAAAGCGCCAUCUCAAUUUUUGUGCAAACUGAUUCCUUCUUUUGUUUUUGAUUCUUAACAUUUAUGUGACGUUUGUCAUUUGGCAAAACAAACAAGAUUGUCAUUUCCUUUGAGUUCCAUUCAAUCUAAGCACUCUUUUGAUCUUAUACAUUGUGAUAUUUGGG
rnacentral:lncRNA from 1 species